rnacentral:misc_RNA from 1 species
GAAAGAGGUGAACCUGCGGAAGGAUCAUUAGUGAAUUGAAUAUGUUAGCGGACCUCUUCGGAGUCCCUAGCAUCAAAUCAUAUCCAUAACACCUGUGAACUGUAAGGCUGUCUUGAAAACGAAAGUGAUUAGAGCGCCCGCCCAUUUUAUACAAACAUUAAAGUAACAAACGUAGUCUUAUUAUAAUCUAAUAAAACUUUCAACAACGGAUCUCUUGGCUCUC